rnacentral:rRNA from 1 species
UACGUAGGAGGCGAGCGUUGUCCGGAGUUACUGGGCGUAAAGAGUGUGUAGGCGGUGUUCCCAGUCUGUUGUGAAAUCUCCCGGCUUAACUGGGAGGGUGCAGCGGAAACUAGAAUGCUAGAGGGUGGGAGAGGUAAGCGGAAUUCCUGGUGUAGCGGUGAGAUGCGUAGAUAUCAGGAGGAACACCUGUGGUGUAGACAGCUUACUGGACCACUUCUGACGCUGAGACACGAAAGCGUGGGUAGCAAACAGG